UGGGGAAUAUUGGACAAUGGGCGCAAGCCUGAUCCAGCCAUGCCGCGUGAAGGAUGAAGGGGCUCUGCCUUGUAAACUUCUUUUGAAUGGGACGAAAAAGCCUCACUUGUGAGGAACUGACGGUACCAUUAGAAUAAGCACCGGCUAACUCCGUGCCAGCAGCCGCGGUAAUACGGAGGGUGCGAGCGUUAUCCGGAAUCACUGGGUUUAAAGGGUGCGUAGGCGGCUGUAUAAGUCAGUGGUGAAAGGCUGUGGCUUAACCAUGGGAUUGCCAUUGAUACUGUACGGCUUGAAUUAGGAUGAGGUUGGCGGAAUGUGACAUGUAGCGGUGAAAUGCUUAGAUAUGUCAUGGAACAUCGAUUGCGAAGGCAGCUGACUGGACCUUAAUUGACGCUGAGGCACGAAAGCGUGGGGAGCGAACAGGAUUAGAUACCCUCGUAGUCCCUGAGCGGGCUGGCAAGGCGCAU
rnacentral:rRNA from 1 species